rnacentral:misc_RNA from 1 species
UUUCCGUAGGUGAACCUGCGGAAGGAUCAUUAUCGUACAAAAUGUGAGGGGCAUGCAAGGGCUGUCGCUGACCCAAAAGUCGUGCACGCCCGAGUGUGUCCUCUUGCAUAAUAAUCCAUCUCACCCUUUGUGCAUCACCGCGUGGGCACCCUUCGGGAUCAUCUCGGAGGGGGGCUCGCGUUUUCACACAAACCCCCCUUUUAAAAGUGUAGAAUGACCACGUUUAUGCAAUCAAUACAACUUUCAACAACGGAUCUCUUGGCUCUC